UACGGAGGGUGCAAACGUUGCUCGGAAUCAUUGGGCGUAAAGCGCACGUAGGCGGACCAGCAAGUCGGAUGUGAAAUCCCUCGGCUUAACCGAGGACGUGCAUCCGAAACUGAGUAGCUAGAGUACGAAAGAGGGUCGCGGAAUUCCCGGUGUAGAGGUGAAAUUCGUAGAUAUCGGGAGGAACACCGGUGGCGAAGGCGGCGACCUGGGUCGAGACUGACGCUGAGGCGCGAAAGCGUGGGGAGCAAACAGG
rnacentral:rRNA from 1 species